rnacentral:rRNA from 1 species
ACGGGGUGCAGCAGGCGCGAAACCUCCGCAAUGUGAGAAAUCGCGACGGGGGGAUCCCAAGUGCCAUUCUUAACGGGAUGGCUUUUCUUAAGUGUAAAAAGCUUUUGGAAUAAGAGCUGGGCAAGACCGGUGCCAGCCGCCGCGGUAACACCGGCAGCUCUAGUGGUAGCUGUUUUUAUUGGGCCUAAAGCGUUCGUAGCCGGUUUGAUAAGUCACUGGUGAAAUCCUGUAGCUUAACUGUGGGAAUUGCUGGUGAUACUGUUGAACUUGAGGUCGGGAGAGGUUAGCGGUACUCCCAGGG